rnacentral:rRNA from 1 species
ACUCCUACGGGAGGCAGCAGUAGGGAAUCUUCCACAAUGGGCGCAAGCCUGAUGGAGCAACACCGCGUGAGUGAAGAAGGGUUUCGGCUCGUAAAGCUCUGUUGUUAAAGAAGAACACGUAUGAGAGUAACUGUUCAUACGUUGACGGUAUUUAACCAGAAAGUCACGGCUAACUACGUGCCAGCAGCCGCGGUAAUACGUAGGUGGCAAGCGUUAUCCGGAUUUAUUGGGCGUAAAGAGAGUGCAGGCGGUUUUCUAAGUCUGAUGUGAAAGCCUUCGGCUUAACCGGAGAAGUGCAUCGGAAACUGGAUAACUUGAGUGCAGAAGAGGUAGUGGAACUCCAUGUGUAGCGGUGGAAUGCGUAGAUAUAUGGAAGAACACCAGUGGCGAAGGCGGCUACCUGGUCUGCAACUGACGCUGAGACUCGGAAGCAUGGGUAGCGAACAGGAUUAGAUACCCCUGGUAGGAUAGCG